UACGUAGGGUGCGAGCGUUAAUCGGAAUUACUGGGCGUAAAGCGUGCGCAGGUGGUCAUGCAAGACAGAUGUGAAAUCCCCGGGCUCAACCUGGGAAUUGCAUUCGAUACUGGAUAGCUAGAGUUCGGCAGAGGGAAGCGGAAUUUCGGGUGUAGCGGUGAAAUGCGUAGAUAUCCGAAGGAACAUCAGUGGCGAAAGCGGCUUCCUGGACCAGAACUGACGAUCAGGCACGAAAGCGUGGGGAGCAAACAGG
rnacentral:rRNA from 1 species